rnacentral:rRNA from 1 species
GAUGAACGCUGGCGGCGUGCCUAAUACAUGCAAGUCGAGCGAACAGAUGAGGAGCUUGCUCCUCUGACGUUAGCGGCGGACGGGUGAGUAACACGUGGAUAACCUACCUAUAAGACUGGGAUAACUUCGGGAAACCGGAGCUAAUACCGGAUAAUAUAUUGAACCGCAUGGUUCAAUAGUGAAAGACGGUUUUGCUGUCACUUAUAGAUGGAUCCGCGCCGCAUUAGCUAGUUGGUAAGGUAACGGCUUACCAAGGCAACGAUGCGUAGCCGACCUGAGAGCGUGAUCGGCCACACUGGAACUGAGACACGGUCCAGACUCCUACGGGAAGCAGCAGUAGGGAAUCUUCCGCAAUGGGCGAAAGCCUGACGGAGCAACGCCGCGUGAGUGAUGAAGGUCUUCGGAUCGUAAAACUCUGUUAUUAGGGAAGAACAAAUGUGUAAGUAACUAUGCACGUCUUGACGGUACCUAAUCAGAAAGCCACGGCUAACUACGUG